UACGUAGGGUGCGAGCGUUGUCCGGAAUUAUUGGGCGUAAAGAGCUCGUAGGCGGCUUGUCGCGUCGGAUGUGAAAGCCCGGGGCUUAACUCCGGGUCUGCAUUCGAUACGGGCAGGCUAGAGUUCGGUAGGGAGAUCGGAAUUCCUGGUGUAGCGGUGAAAUGCGCAGAUAUCAGGAGGAACACCGGUGGCGAAGGCGGAUCUCUGGGCCGAUACUGACGCUGAGGAGCGAAAGCGUGGGGAGCGAACAGG
rnacentral:rRNA from 1 species